UCUCUCCGUGCAGAAGCGGGGAUAAAAACAUCAGACGAGAAGACCCUAUGGAGCUUCAAACACUUAAAUUAAUUAUGUAAAAUAUAAUAUUCCAAGGAUAUAAACAAAUAAUAUAAUAUUUCUAAUUUAACAUGUUUUUGGUUGGGGUGACCAAGGAGAAAAACAAAUCCUCCUGAUCGAUUGAGUAUUCAAAUACUUAAAAAUCAGAAUAACUAUUCUGAAUGAUAAUACAUUUAUCGAAAUAUGACCCAGGACUUACCUGAGCAAUGAACCAAGUUACCCUAGGGAUAACAGCGCAAUCCUUUCCCAGAGUCCUUAUCGACGAAAGG
rnacentral:rRNA from 1 species